AAAAAAACAGAGCUCGGACUAUAUAAAAGGAGACCGUUGUCUUCGGUGAAUUUACUGUGCCACAUUAAGUCCUUGCCUUCGUUGCGGAGUACCGACGUGAACAGAAAUCACCAUGAAAACUCUGAUUUGCAUUGCUUUUUUCUUCGUUAUGAUGUCUUUCGCAUUUGCUGGUCAUCAUGGUAUUCAAGUUGGAAUACCCCUUCCAUUCAUUAAGAUCCGAUUUGUAGAUAUUGCUCAUCUUUUUGGACAUCAUGACGAUCAUCAUGGUCAUCACGGACAUCAUGGCUUUGGUUUGGAUCUCGGACACCACGGGUUUUAAACUUCAAAGCAUGAAAAGAUUAAAGCAUUAACUUGGCAGUAUCAAGAUUUAUAGUACAGCUUCCAGAAACUGUACAUUUUCACCUGAUACUUCGAGUUUGUACAUAAAUCUCAUUUCUUUGUUUAUGUAUACUUAUUUUUUGUUCAAUAAAUG